GACGAACGCUGGCGGCGUGCCUAAUACAUGCAAGUUGAGCGCUGAAGGUUGGUACUUGUACCAACUGGAUGAGCAGCGAACGGGUGAGUAACGCGUGGGGAAUCUGCCUUUGAGCGGGGGACAACAUUUGGAAACGAAUGCUAAUACCGCAUAAAAACUUUAAACACAAGUUUUAAGUUUGAAAGAUGCAAUUGCAUCACUCAAAGAUGAUCCCGCGUUGUAUUAGCUAGUUGGUGAGGUAAAGGCUCACCAAGGCGAUGAUACAUAGCCGACCUGAGAGGGUGAUCGGCCACAUUGGGACUGAGACACGGCCCAAACUCCUACGGGAGGCAGCAGUAGGGAACCUUCGGCAAUGGACGAAAGUCUGACCGAGCAACGCCGCGUGAGUGAAGAAGGUUUUCGGACCGUAAAACUCUGUUGGUAGAGAAGAACGUUGGUGAGAGUGGAAAGCUCAUCAAGUGACGGUAACUACCCAGAAAGGGACGGCUAACUACGUG
rnacentral:rRNA from 1 species